rnacentral:siRNA from 1 species
UGAUCAACUCUAUUUCAAGUUC